GAUGAACGCUGGCGGCGUGCCUAAUAAAUGAAAGCCGAGCGAACAGACGAGGAGCUUGCCCCCCUGACGUUAGCGGCGGCGGGGGGAGUAAAACUUGGAUAACUUACCUAUAAGACUGGGUUAACUUCGGGAAACCGGACUUAAAACCGGAAAAAAUUUUGAACGCAAGGGUUCAAAAGUGAAAGCGGGUUUUGCUGUCACUAAAAGAUGGAUCCGCGCCGCAUUAGCUAGUUGGUAAGGUAACGGCUUACCAAGGCAACGAUGCGUAGCCGACCUGAGAGGGUGAUCGGCCACACUGGAACUGAGACACGGUCCAGACUCCUACGGGAGGCAGCAGUAGGGAAUCUUCCGCAAUGGGCGAAAGCCUGACGGAGCAACGCCGCGUGAGUGAUGAAGGUCUUCGGAUCGUAAAACUCUGUUAUUAGGGAAGAACAAAUGUGUAAGUAACUAUGCACGUCUUGACGGUACCUAAUCAGAAAGCCACGGCUAACUACGUG
rnacentral:rRNA from 1 species